rnacentral:lncRNA from 1 species
AUGCAUCAUACGUCUGGUGUUACAACUGUUUGGUACACGUCCAACUCAAAAGCCGUGGGGAUUGAUGACCCAAUCGUCGAGCAAACCUAUCCCCAAUUUUUGGUAUUGCCUCGAAUGCCCAGAUCUGUUACAGUAGAUAGUAAUUGUGAGUUGAACAUUAAAGGAACCAAUGACGAUACAUUUCUGAUGAAAUAAUGAAUACGUUGUACAAAAUUUGUGUGUAAUACCUGCAUGGCAAUGGGGAAGCCGUGAACUGUAUAAGUAACCGCCUUCUCCUUCUUAUUUGUGGCAUCUACAAAUUUUCGUCCCAGUCUACGUCGGAAGCCCUUUAUUAGACGAAUGUAGGAUACUCUAUCCCGAGGGUAAGAAUAGAACAUGUCCAGAUCGUCCACGAUCGACAGUGUCAGAAGUUCAAUACCGGCAUGGCUAUCCAAGCAUUGAACACUCCUUCGAUGAUUAAAGCAAGCCCGAGCUUGUAACGAUCAGCUCGGGGCGUCGACGACCGGAGAAAUGCCUUCUCAAGUUCGCCACACGAAACCCUCGUCGUUGAUUUGAAGUAUUUAUCCUUCAACCUCUUCUUUUGUAGAACUCGGUCCAUCGCGGCGUCAUCUGGAAGAGGACCACACAUUAAACCCGUGACAAGAGCAUACUCUUGCAGGCCAAAUCUGGCUAAGUGACCUUGCACUUUAGACCAUAUUUCGCUGGCCUUUUCAGUUUGUAUGCAGCGGAAAACGAGUUGCUGGAUUAGUUGGGCUGAGAAUUGGAGAUCUCGAACCUCGGAUAAGAACCCUAGGCAUGAGUUACGGAAGUCCGUACGCUGCCGCUCAUCGAAAUCCUCCAGGACUGUCUUCACGUACCGUAGAUUGCUUCGCUGUGAGAUGUGGGCCCUCAGCCGCGCAUUCUUUGGAAUUAGAUAUUCAAAAUCCAUUCACCCUCCUGCAGUUGAACAUAAAUUUAAUACGUCAGAUGGUA